rnacentral:rRNA from 1 species
GCAUUCGAAACUGGCAGGCUUGAGUCUUGUAGAGGGGGGUAGAAUUCCAGGUGUAGCGGUGAAAUGCGUAGAGAUCUGGAGGAAUACCGGUGGCGAAGGCGGCCCCCUGGACAAAGACUGACGCUCAGGUGCGAAAGCGUGGGGAGCAAACAGGAUUAGAUACCCUGGUAGUCCACGCCGUAAACGAUGUCUACUUGGAGGUUGUGCCCUUGAGGCGUGGCUUCCGGAGCUAACGCGUUAAGUAGACCGCCUGGGGAGUACGGCCGCAAGGUUAAAACUCAAAUGAAUUGACGGGGGCCCGCACAAGCGGUGGAGCAUGUGGUUUAAUUCGAUGCAACGCGAAGAACCUUAC